rnacentral:tRNA from 1 species
UGAGGUAUAGCUCAGUGGUAGAGCAUCUGCCUAGCAUGUACAAGACCCUGAGCUCAAUCCCUAGUACUGCAA